AGGACGAACGCUGGCGGCGUGCUUAACACAUGCAAGUCGAACGGUGAAGGAGAGUUUGCUCUCUGGAUCAGUGGCGAACGGGUGAGUAACACGUGAGUAACCUGCCCUUGACUCUGGGAUAAGCGUUGGAAACGACGUCUAAUACCGGAUACGAGCUUCAGUCGCAUGGCUAGGAGCUGGAAAGAUUUCGGCAAGGAUGGACUCGCGGCCUAUCAGCUAGUUGGUGAGGUAAUGGCUCACCAAGGCGACGACGGGUAGCCGGCCUGAGAGGGUGACCGGCCAACGACGUGGGACUGGAGACACGGCCCAGACUCCGUACGGGAGCAGCAGUGGGAAUAUGCACAAGUGGGCGCAAGCCUGAUGC
rnacentral:rRNA from 1 species